GAGUUUGAUCCUGGCUCAGGACGAACGCUGGCGGCGUGCUUAACACAUGCAAGUCGAACGAAAUUAAAAAAUUAUCAUUGAGCUCUCCGAUGAGAUGGGAGCCAAGCGUCGUGACCGCGGAGCGGGCACCACGCGUUCAACAAGUGCAACACCAAGUCGAAGGGUUGAAUGGUAAUUUUUUAAUUUAGUGGCAAACGGGUGAGUAACACGUAGACAACCUGCCGACAGGAUGGGGACAACAUUCCGAAAGGAAUGCUAAUACCGAAUGAAGUCAGAGGAGGGCAUCCUCCUCUGAUGAAAGAUGGCCUCUAUUUAUAAGCUAUCACCUGUUGAUGGGUCUGCGUCUGAUUAGCUAGUUGGUGAGGUAACGGCUCACCAAGGCGACGAUCAGUAGCCGGUCUGAGAGGAUGAACGGCCACAUUGGGACUGAGACACGGCCCAGACUCCUACGGGAGGCAGCAGUGGGGAAUCUUCCGCAAUGGGCGCAAGCCUGACGGAGCAACGCCGCGUGAGUGAAGAAGGUCUUCGGAUCGUAAAGCUCUGUUGACGGGGACGAACGUGCGGAGUGCGAAUAGCGCU
rnacentral:rRNA from 1 species